AAACUUUUGGGGAACUGUGUUCCCCUGAAGUUUGGAGGGUGAGGAGUGAAAGAGGUUGAGAAGAAUGAGCUGGCUGGGUUGGACAUUCAGAGGUGACAAUGGCCAGAUCAACCUUGAUGGAGUCUUGUUCUGUCACUAGGCUGGAGUGCAGUGGUGCGAUCUCAGCUCACUACAACCUCCGCCUCCUGGGUUCAAGUGAUCCCCUGCCUCAGCCUCCCGAGUAGCUGGGACUACAGGCACGCGCCACCACACCUGGCUAAUUUUUUGUAUUUUUUUAGUAGAGAUGGGGUUUCACCAUGUUGGCCAGGAUGGUCUCGAUCUCUUGACUUCAUGAUCUGCCCACCUCUGCCUCCCAAAGUUCUGGGAUUACAGGCCUGAGCCACUGCACCUGGCCGCUAGUUCUUAAGAGGGAGGUAUGAGACGUAUGUAUAGACUAAGUGAAAGGAAAAUAUCUUGGGCCCCCAAAGUCACUAAGCUAAAAGGAAAAUUCAAGCUGGAAACUGCUCAGAGCAAACCUGCUUCCCAUUCUAUUCAAAGUCAUCCCUCUGCUCACUGAGGUAAAUGCAUAUUCUGAUUGGCUCCUUUGUAAAAGCUAAUUAGAAACUCAAAAGAAUGCAACUAUUUGUCUCUCACCUACCUGUGACCUGGAAGACCCCUCCCUGCUUCAAGUUCUCCCCACCUUUCUGGACAAAACCAGUGUACUUCUUACUAUAUUGAUUAAUGUCUUGUGUCUCCCUAAAGUGUAUAAAACCAAGUUGUGCC
rnacentral:lncRNA from 1 species